UGGGAGCCCUGCUCAGCAGACACUCAGCCCUAGCGUGUUGCCUGCUGGUGAGGGUCUCUGCACACCAGCUCUGCAGUCAGCCCUUCAGCUUGUGCUGCAGGCACAAGCCUGGCACACAGGCAGUGCAGCCACGGCAGACCUGGAUCCCAUGCAGCCCAGCCUGGCCCACCAUGCAUCAGGGGAACCCAAGGCACUCAUUCUCCUGCCAGCCGACAGAGCACCCCGAAAGGACAGAGAGGAGCCACAGACAUGGAUGCCCUGGGCCCUACCUGUUUGCCCGCUGAGCCCUGCACCAUUCUUGCACCUGGAUGUGUUGGGCAUGGGAAUGCAUCCGACCUGGGGUCAGAAGCACAGGAGGGCACGGGACCUGUCUGUCCACACCCCAGAUGCACAC
rnacentral:lncRNA from 1 species